rnacentral:rRNA from 1 species
UGGGGAAUAUUGCACAAUGGGGGAAACCCUGAUGCAGCCAUGCCGCGUGUGUGAAGAAGGCCUUCGGGUUGUAAAGCACUUUCAGCGAGGAGGAAAGGUUGGCGCCUAAUACGUGUCAACUGUGACGUUACUCGCAGAAGAAGCACCGGCUAACUCCGUGG